rfam:Photobacterium profundum SS9
AUCUCAUGGUGGUGGCACUUCUCUAUACGGGUUGUGUGAUUUGCUGUUCCUAACGGACAGAAUAGACAUAAGCCCGCCAGAUGCGGGCUUUUUCAU